rnacentral:tRNA from 1 species
GGUGGCUCAGUGGUAGAGUGGUUGCCUUGCAUGCAUAAGGCCCUGGGUUCGAUUCCUCAGCACCA